ensembl:lncRNA
GGGAAGGGGAUGGACCAGUUUUCUUUCCGUCCUGGUCUGGGAAGGGGAUGGACCAGUUUUCUUUCCGUCCUGGUCUGGGAAGGGGAUGGACCAGUUUUCUUUCCGUCCUGGUCUGGGAAGGGGAUGGACCAGUUUUCUUUCAGUCCUGGUCUGGGAAGGGGAUGGACCAGUUUUCUUUCCGUCCUGGUCUGGGAAGGGGAUGGACCAGUUUUCUUUCCGUCCUGGUCUGGGAAGGGGAUGGACCAGUUUUCUUUCAGUCCUGGUCUGGGAAGGGGAUGGACCAGUUUUCUUUCCGUCCUGGUCUGGGAAGGGGAUGGGACAUUUUCUUUCAGUCCUGGUCUGGGAAGGGGAUGGACCAGUUUUCUUUCAGUCCUGGUCUGGGAAGGGGAUGGGACAGUUUUUUUCAGUCCUGGUCUGGGAAGGGGAUGGGACAGUUUUUUUCAGUCCUGGUCUGGGAAGGGGAUGGGCCAGUUUUUUUCAGUCCUGGUCUGGGAAGGGGAUGGGACAGUUUUCUUUCGGUCCUGGUCUGGGAAGCUCAUUGCGUAUGCAGCAUUUCACUCCAGCUGGAGUAAAUAUUGUGAAAAUCCAACCUUGUUGUCGGGAAGGACUUGUCUGGAACUGGAUGUGCUCAUUGAGGUGAUGUCGUAGGACCACUCCAUUUCCACUGACCAGUUUCAUGUGGGUUUGAUAAACACCGGGUCUCAGACUAGGUUUGGGAAACCUUGGCUGGGCUUAUUUGUGUACCAAUGAUAUUUAUGCACUGAGCGUUCCAGCCUGCCCGAGCACAUGGGUGAUUUAAGUGCUUGCUUCAUGUGACUGGUAUAUUGUAUGUGAGUCAGGGUAUGAUGUAGGAAAAAUGAAUAAAUAUGAUAUAUUUCCUAAUGUAUCAUUCCUGUUUCCCUUUUUUGUCAACAGCUCACAGUAUGACAGUAAUUGGGAAUUGAACUUCCUCGUCUAUUUUCAUUAUGUGUUCAGUGGCAUGUCGUAUUCUCUUAUCUGCCUGUAAUGAAAAGGGGGAAAUAAAUAUAAGAAAUUGUUGAGACAAUUCUUUGAUCUAGUUCUUACCCUUUUAGUUGGUCCUAAACCAUGAAAAUGAAACAUUUCACAAAAGGCUUAUUACACUAGUAAGCCUCAUCGUAAAUUAUAAAAAUCCCUCAACGUCGAAAGUGUCUGCAAGCGUGUGAGACUACAGUACCUAUCUGACUAUCUGGUGUCUAUAGUACCUAUCUGGUGUCUACAGUACCUUUCUGACUAUCUGGUGUCUACAGUACCUUUCUGACUAUCUGGUG